rnacentral:rRNA from 1 species
AUGCCAACGGGGGCCGUCGGCAUCGCAAGUUUUUCUGGUAGUGGCGGGGGCUCCUCUCUGCCCUCGGCGCUCGAUCUUCGAGGGUGGGGGGGCGGGGACGCCACCCGCCGCCGAGGUCAUCCGCGGCGGCAUGAAGAGGCCGCGCGUGAGGCCGAUGCUCGGAGGAGCUCCGGCGGUGGCGAGGCCAACGCUCCCCGCGCUAGGGUUUUCAGCGGCGCGGUUGUGAAGGUGAAACCACAGUUGGUUGCCACUCAUGAAAGAGUGAGCAGUGACACAAAUAGUGGUGCCGAUCCUCCAGGUUCCAUUGAAGGAAAUAGUAAAAUGGGCGCUACAAAUCCUGGUCCAGAAGAUGCUGCCGAUCUUUUAAGAAUGUGUCUCCAAUGUGGUAUACCAAAGACCUAUUCACACGCACAAGGUAUGGUAUGCCCUGUUUGCAAUGAUAGACCGGCGCAGACAAAAGAGCCAGAAAAGAUGAGAGGGCAAUCGUCGCAUGCAUCAUGGAAAAGCGAAACUGAGAUGGCUCUGCGGCAACAAUUUGACUGA